rnacentral:tRNA from 9 species
GCCGGAGUGGCGGAAUUGGUAGACGCAGCGGAUUCAAAAUCCGCCGCCCUUAAAAGCGUGUGGGUUCGAGUCCCACCCCCGGCACCA